GUAAGUAUUCUGCUUAGCCAUGGCCGCGCCCUGGCGGAAGGCUGCUGCCAGAAAUAAUGAGGUGACCCAGACAGAGGUCCCAUGCUCUCACAAAAGGAAAGCAGCAGCCAAGAAGACUGUGGAAACCCAGACUGAGGCCCCGCGCACAUAUGAAAGGAAGGCUGCUGCCAAGAAAAAUGAGGAUACUCAGACUGAGGUGCUGUGUGAUGACACUCAAGAUGAUAUACUCAGAGACAUCAAGGUCAGAUUGACAGGUCUAUAAUUCUCUGAAUCCUACUCUCUCCCCUUCUUGUACGUAGAAAGUACUCAUUUUGAAGGAAAGCAGAUUUUCCCAUUUGGCAUAAAAAGUAGAGAAAAUGAAGACUUCGACUUCCUAUGUUAAAACCAUUACACUGUAUAUUUUUUGAAGAUAAGGUGGUCAUAGUCCGUUUGGCAGAAGUAACUGUCCGGUAGUACUUUUCCUGGUACUGUAAAAAAAUAUGGAAUAGUAUAAAAGUAAGUAUC
ensembl:lncRNA